AGAGAUAUUUAGAGACGAGCCCUCUAAGUCCUAAUCCCCAACCGCAGCAAUUUACGCCGAGCCCUCCUAAUCCCCAACCGCAGCCGCCCUGCGCUCCGUCCCGGUCGCCGGUCGCCCUGCGCCCCGUCUCGGUCGCCGGUCGCCCUGCACCCCGGACGAAACGCCGCGCCGACCGCCAUGUGCCCCGUCCAAACGCAGCGCCGCCAGCCCCCUCCAACGCCGCCAGCCCACUCCAAUACCGCCGCCCGACGCGUGGACGCCCUCCCCCUACGCGACGAACGCCCUAAGCCAGGCGCGGCCCUGCAUCCCAACGCCGCCGCCCUAGGACGCCGCCCUGCAUCUCCAACGCCGCACCAUUUCCUUUGCUCCCCCCGCAUCCCCAACGCCGCGCCGCUCGUUCACCUGAUGCGAGGACGCCUCUGCCUGAAUCGAGAACGCCUCUGCCUGAAUCGAGAACGCCGGUGCCCUGCACCACUGCUCCUUGAAGCCAGACUAGGAAUGGAAGAAUCUUCAGACAGAUACGACUCAUAUGCUGAUGUUUCUGGUUCACCUCCUGCUUCUGAAACUGAAGAAGGUAGAAACUAAGUCAAAAUAACAACAUCUAUGCUACCAUAUGGAAAUAUUUGUGAGGAAACAGAGGCAUUUCAAUAAAAGUGUAGACAUUCAGUUGUUCGGUACUCAUCUGAAGUGCAAUCAAUUUGAGCGGAAGACAGAGUUUACACGCAUCAAGAAUUUUCGCAAAAAUCAUCAACAUAGAGGUUGCCUCGGAAUCUGGGGUUUUCUAUGGCGGUGAUGACUCACCGGAGGUUCAUGAUUCACGCACAAAGGCUGCUGCAACCCAACUGAUCAAGCAUGCAUGAUCUUUGGAUGAGAGUAUUGCUGUACACCACAACAGCAUGUUCGGAGCGUCAUGGUGGAGAAACUGGGCCACGACCCCCCCUCCCCCCCUCUUCCAAAGUGCAAAUUUCUUCUUUACCAGCCCGUCGGUGGCCAUCUCGCUGCAGGCCAAGCACAUGGAGAAGUUUGGGAAGGUCUGGUCAAGAUUCUCAAGAAGUAUGACAAGAGAACUAGGGACCCUUAUCUGUCUCCACUUCAUUUAAAAUGUGCUGCCCCAGCCUUUCUUCAACACUGACCUCAUGUAUCAUCUUGUGGAUGAGUGCGAGGACAUGCUCGACCAGCUCCUACCAUAUUGAAUAAACCAUCUGUAUCAAAUGAAGAUGGACAAGCCUGUGAACCCUAUUUCUUCCUUGGAUAGCAGCGGAUGCAUUCCACAGCUUGGUGAGAUUGAGUUAAUGGAGAGCAUGUACAUGAAUAGCUUGAUGAGAUAGAUUGCAACUUCUGUACAAAUGUUAUGUCAUAUUGGGUGAUGUGAAUGUAUCAUUGGUACACAUCUAGUUGUGCGAUAUGAAAUAUUCGUGGAAAAUCCAUUUUAUUUUUUAUAAUGUCUUAUU